rnacentral:misc_RNA from 1 species
GCAUCAUACAUGGGGCGUGCCUCGAAUACGCACAUUCCCCACAGGGUGUCCUCUUCUAAUCCAAACCUCGCUUGGCCCGUAUUAUUACUAUAUUUUUUUCAGAUCUUGCUCGUCUCUUCCUUGUACAUUGGAUUUCGCGGUUAGAAGUCCAUUCCUCCUCUUGUCUCUCGAGGGCGACGCUCUGUCCUAUGCCCAACCACAUCAUAUCCGCUCCUUCCCUCCCUCUCUCACACUCUCGUGCUCGUGGACUCUCUUUCGUAUCCUUGCAACAAGCUGCUGCGACUGCUCUCUCUCUCUCAGGCUCUUGAUACCAUCACCGUUUUUACGCAGCGACCUUCUUUGUCGUGUUAUGUGUACUGCGCACUUUCCCCAACGAUCGACGAGUACAUCGGAGGCCGCUCGAUAGCGAAAAUGCGCGUUGUCGUGUUGCUUACAACUGUGCUUGCCUUCUUCGUAUAGAUCUCUAACCCCUUCUUCACAUAUCGCAUCUCCUCUUUGCCAGGUCUGCGUGUCUGCGUGUGCCGUAUCCUGCGCACUGUUUCUGUGCUUCUGUGCCUUUCCGCCUCAUCUCGGUGCACGUCUGUAGGCGAGCAAGCGACGAGAGAACGAAAGCAUCAAUACGAAACGCACCGGGCGACGAACAAAAGACCGCGCAGAGCCGGACACAAGGAUCUGAUCCAUCAAAAACCUCCCUUGGGCUUCUCGCUUGUUGUGUCGGCCGCACGUAUAAGUCUAGCGGAGCCGCACGACGGAGAGACGGGAAAGCAGGCAUUGUGCCGCACGAAGAAAAGGAGACGGAAGAAUCUGCAACAGCAAGCAGCCGCUCCUCCUAAGAGGCAUGCAUGCGGAAGUGAUCCGGGCAGGGCCGGUACACUAUGGUGAAGGCGUGCCUCGGCCAUGAGGAUGCCGGCGACGAACCCUCGCGCGCUCUCCUCCGUGCCCGCUCCUUGUGCCUCCUUCCGAGGCCGGCAAGUGAGUGCGCGCCCGUCCCUGCGGAGAGGGACCCCUUUCUUGUGUCGCGUCUGUCUGCUCAUCUGAUGCGUCGUUGUACGCUCUUCGUGGGACACCACGGUGCGACGAGAUCCGGCGGGGAGUGCGAUCGGGUUGUGCUCUCUGUCUCUCGUCCCAGUGGAGGCGGUGGCGUUGCGCUGCCUGCCGGUGCUACUUCCAGCGUCGAUUGCCGUGGACGCGGAGGGCCCCGCGACCUUGUGGCCUCUUGUCUGCCGUUGUGCCUCGACCGGCCGUGUCUUGAGGGUCAGCCCCGCCCGUGCGACCGUCUGCAUGCCUCCACGUGGCGGUGCCGGAGGCUGGAAGGGCCCGCGGCUCCGCGCUGUCGCCCGUACACAAGCACAACAUAUAUGCGUAUCGCGGUGCUCCUGAGUAGGACGCACUGUACUCCUGGCGGUGCAGCCCUCGGCACGACUCUCGCUUCUUCCAUCUCUGCCCCCCCUCCCCCCUCUGUCUCUCACGCCUGCAAAGGAAAGGGAAGCGCUCGCUGCAGGGCUUGUGGGGCGGGGCUGCGGAUGUGAGAGCGCGAAGUGAAGGGGUGUGUCUUUGCCGUGCCAUCGCCGAAGAACAUCAUCCUCUCCUCCCAUCUCUCCCCCGUCACUCUCUCUCUGCAG